GAUUUAGGGAACUGUGUGGAGGUCCAGGCCCCUUUGCCAUGGCACUCAAAUGUCUCCCCUCCCCCUCCCAGCUGAUGCAGCACAAGCAGGUCCUGUCUUUCCUUCUUGGGUGAGCUUGUGUAGUUCCAUGGUGUCAUUCCCUCCAGAAGUAACACAUUUUGAGGUGGAGAAACUGAGACCCAGACGGCCUAACCAACUUUCCCUGAAAGCAGAGUUGCAACUGGAGCUAAGAUAGUUCAGCUCAGUGUAUUCUGCAGAAAGACUUCUGUGCAUCUUCUCUCACAGGCUGUGGACAUAGGUAUAAGAUCUGACCUGUGUCCAGCAUCAGCCGAGGUCUAGACAAAAGUCCACUGUAAAGUAAAACUCAAGAACAUGCACUCCCUUGAGAGUGAAAUAAAACAACUCACCUCUAGCUUUAUGAUUU